rnacentral:lncRNA from 1 species
AAGGCCCAAACAUUAGAAUUAUCCUUCUGGAAUAAUUUAUCACCGAACUGCACUAACUCUAUCUUAUUUUUACCUCCUGCAUGGUAUGUUUUAUUGUAAAGAAUGGUUGUGUAUCUGACCAAAUAAAGUGCUCUAAAUAUAAUGAUUAAUAUAUUUCUCAGAUUUUAUUAAGUUUUAAAGUAGCUGACUGUGUUGAUUAUUGUUGAUUUUGCCAAUUUGAAUGAAAAAGGUUAAUUUUGUUGAUAUUUCAUAGUUUAGUGAAAG